ensembl:lncRNA
GCCGCAUUAGGAGAUAGGAUCCAAGCAAGUGUCGCUCAAAUGAGCACAUGACCGAAUGACAUCACUUUAGGGCACGCAGCGCGUAUCCAUGGCAACGCUCAGCUGCGUAGUGACAGUUAACGGACAUUUCGGUGAUUCCCUCAAACACGGCCUUGAGUUUUCACUUUUGUUUGGUCGAAAAGGUUAGAAGACAAUGGGAAGAAUUGCCAUCGGAUCGGACUAACCACAGCUGACAACCAGAGAUGCACACACACACCCAUCCACUAACACACACACACACACACACACACACACACACACACACACACACACACACACACACACGAAAAGAGCACUGCAACUUUACAAUUGGUCAAGUACCCAUGAUUCGAGGAUCCUAAAUUGGGAGAACUCAUUGGAUUAAAGCAGGGACCAGUGGAAUCACAUCAGACAGCAGAACAGCAGAUAAUCUAAACAACUGUUCACUGCAUCACCUGAUAACAAAUCUAGAAGACAUAUAUUUCUUCUUUUCUGAGAAGCUAGACAGACAUCGAUCAUUUCCAUUUGAAAGGAAUCUGGACACAAUGGCAGUUGCUCCGAAGAAGACACACCAGAAUUAUUUAAAGAGUGUCCAUGGCAUUCUAAAAGGAACUCCUGUUUUUUCGACUUUUCCAUUGAGUCUUUUGUUUGUUGGAUUGGAGAAGCUGAUUGAAAUAGAAAUGUUUUCAUGCCCAUGCACAGACAUGCUAAAUAAAUUGCUAACAGUGUCCAUCUUCACUGGACCUGCUCUUUUUACGUAUGCUUUAAUGUUCCUCCUUUUAAGACCUUUUAAACAUACUGCAAGCUUACAAAAGAAAACUCUGUAUAACGGUCCUAAAAAAUUUCUAGCGUGUCUAAUUCCACCUAUACUUGGGAUCAUCAUCUUGUUAGUUGAUGGUGAUUACUUUGCUUGUGCCAUGACAGACUGGAAGGGAAUUUAUGAGUUUGAUAAGGCGAUCAACAGGUCUUGGUGUAAACCUCCUGAAGGGACACAAAAUGUGACAGAGCUGAGAGGUCUGACUUGGAAACAUGUUCAUCAAUCUCAGUGUGCCGGGUAUGUCUUGAUCUCUGUCUUCAGUGCCUUGAUGAUUGUCUUUUUGGGUAUUCAUGACUGCUGCAUUCGUGGGAGAUGUGAUUGCUGCCCAAGUCGACUGUUAUGCUGCAAACGAACAGAAGAGAAAAAGCAUGAGACAGAAGAGAAAAAGGAUGAGACAGAAGAGAAAAAGGAUGAGAGUCCAGAAAGUUCAGAAAUUAGAAAAAAGUUAAGUUUAGCCUAUGUAGUUCUUAAAAUAUAAAAGGAAUGAACUUGUGAGGGUUGUCUAAUGCAAUAACGUGCCUAGUCAUAUAUACAUAAAGUUGUUCUAAAACCUUUGGAUAUUUUAAAUAAAUUUAAAGUAUGGAUUUUAAAGUAGUAAUCUUACAAAAAAAUAAAAAUAAAUAAAUAAAUAAUAAUAAUAAUAAUAAUAAUGUUUCAUUAAAUGCAUCUAACUGUCUUUCUGUCAUUUAGUAGGGUCUCAUGGCAUAUACUUUUAAUUUUACUGAUUUGUUUUAGAAAUAUGUUAUUCUCAUGCUUGGUGACGGUAAUAAAUGUAUAUACUAUUUCAGAGUAUCAAUAAUAUUGGUGUUUAUGUGCCUGUCAGCUAUCAUUUCUUAAGAGCAGGGAUGUGCAAUCCUGUUCCUGGAGGGCUGGUGUCCUGCAAAGUUCAGCUCAAACCCCAAUUAAAUACACAUUAACUAAUCAAGGUCUUACUAGGCAUACUAGAAAGUUCCAGGCAGGUGUGCAGAGACAAACUGGAGCUAAGUCUUUUCAGGACACUGGCUCUCCAGGAUAGAGUAUCGACACCCCUGCUUAAGAGUCUAAGAUUAUAAUUACCUGAAUUAUAUAGAAAUGAUUAUACUGCAUGAAAUUUAUUUUUAAUAUUUGUAAAUGUGACCCUGGACCACAACACCAGUCUUAAGUCGCUGGGGUAUAUUUGUAGCAAUAGCCAAAAAAUACAUUGUAUGGGUCAAAAUUAUAGAUUUUUCUUUUAUGCCAAAAAUCAUUAGGAUAUAAGCAAAGAUCAUGUUCCAUGAAGAUAUUUUGUAAAUUUCCUUUUGUAAGUAUAUUAAAACACAUUUAUUGAUUAGUAAUAUGCAUGGCUUAGAACUUCAUUUGGACAACUUUAAAGGCGAUUUUCUCAAUAUUUUGAAUUUUUUGCACCCUCAGAUUCCAGAUAUUCAAAUAGUUGUAUCUCAGCCAAAUAUUUUCCAAUCCUAACAAAGCAUACAUCAAUGGAAAGCUUAUUUAUGUAGCAAUCUCAAUUUCCAAAAUUUGACACUUAUGACUUUGUGGACCAGGGUCACAAAUGUCCAGUGUGUUUUCAUGUAGAAUGGGGUAGAAAACUUGUCUCAUUUUGUUAAUCUAAUGAAUAUUUCUCUGGCUCUCACAGUUAUAUAAAGAUAUAGGAAUGUUUUCAACAAUAUAUAUUUGAAUCUUACUAAACCAAUUCCAGAUUAUAAACUUUAUAGUCACUGGGAUUUGAGACACCAAGCCUUCUAUUUUUUAAUUUUAAUUCUUUCACUUUAGCUUACACUUUAAAAAUGACUUUUUAAUGCCAUUUAAAAAUGCCUCAUACAUUUAUUCUAUAUUGUAUUUAUCUAUACUGAUCACUGGAAAUGUAAGUUAAAAGACAAUUCUUUUUAAUGGUUAAAAUGACAGUGAUUGUGGUUUUAACAUUGUAUUGUUGCUGUAUUACAAUUAAACUUAUUGUGCACACAUCAAUGCUUGUGCAUAAGCAAAUUUAUUUUUGUAAAAUGUCCAUGUCCAUGCAACGAGACACAAGCAUUCCAACUUCAGGCCUGUGAUGAAACUGAAUAGCAUCAUCUUUCUUAGACCUGCUCUUCUAGCUCUUACUGUAAUGAUUUUCAUUCAAAAGCCUUCCAGAUGUUCAUAUUACUGUAAUUUACAAUGUAAUUAAUUUUUUGAUAAUAAUAAAUAUUUUUUUCAUACAAGGUUUCCC